rnacentral:rRNA from 1 species
AUUGAACGCUGGCGGCAGGCCUAACACAUGCAAGUCGAACGGUAACAGGAAGAAGCUUGCUUCUUUGCUGACGAGUGGCGGACGGGUGAGUAAUGUCUGGGAAACUGCCUGAUGGAGGGGGAUAACUACUGGAAACGGUAGCUAAUACCGCAUAACGUCGCAAGACCAAAGAGGGGGACCUUCGGGCCUCUUGCCAUCGUGGGUGCCCAGAUGGGAUUAGCUAGUAGGUGGGGUAACGGCUCACCUAGGCGACGAUCCCUAGCUGGUCUGAGAGGAUGACCAGCCACACUGGAACUGAGACACGGUCCAGACUCCUACGGGAGGCAGAAGUGGGGAAUAUUGCCCAAUGGGCGCAAGCCUGAUGCAGCCAUGCAGCGUGUAUGAAGAAGGCCUUCGGGUUGUAAAGUACUUUCAGCGGGGAGGAAGGGAGUAAAGUUAAUACCUUUGCUCAUUGACGUUACCCGCAGAAGAAGCACCGGCUAACUCCGU